AGCUUGGAAGCAGCUAUUCAUUCAAAGAGUGCGUAACAGCUCACUAGUCGAGCGGCAAAGCGUGGAUAAUAAACGGGCAUCAAGUAUACCACCGAAGUUCUGGGCACGAAAGUGCGGUAGGGGAGCAUUCCAUUCCGCGUUGAAGCCGAACCGUGAGGUUUGGUGGAGUGUAUGGAAAAGCAAAUGUAGGCAUGAGUAACGAUAAUGCGGGAGAGUAACCCGCACACCGCAAGACCAAGGUUUCCUGAUCAACGCUAAUCGGAUCAGGGUUAGUCGGGUCCUAAGGGUAAGCCGAACGGUGAUCUCGAUGGAUAAUCGGUUAAUAUUCCGAUACUGACAUAUACCUCGAUGGAGAGACGAAGGAACGUAAGUGCCGCCACCUGACGGAAUAGGUGGUUAAAGGGCGUAGGUAUAGGGACAGAUUAAGAGUUAGUCCUUGCUGAAACCUGACAGUACAGAGAGCCUACGGGCAAUUUGAUAGUGCACCCAAGUCGACUUCCGAGAAAAUCUUCUAAGUUAUAGUAUAUGUCACCCGUACCGUAAACCGACACAGGUGGUCGAGGAGAGUAUCCUAAGGUGCUCGAGUGAAUCACGGUUAAGGAACUAGGCAAAUUAACCCCGUAACUUCGGGAAAAGGGGUCCCACCGCGAGGUGGGCGCAGCGAAGAGGUCCAGGCGACUGUUUAUCAAAAACACAGGGCUCUGCAAAUUCGAAAGAAGACGUAUAGGGCCUGACACCUGCCCGGUGCUGGAAGGUUAAGAGGGGAUGUCAUCGCAAGAGAAGCAUUGAAUCGAAGCCCCAGUAAACGGCGGCCGUAACUAUAACGGUCCUAAGGUAGCGAAAUUCCUUGUCGGGUAAGUUCCGACCUGCACGAAUGGUGUAACGAUCUGGACACUGUCUCAACCGUGAGCUCGGUGAAAUUGUAGUCCCGGUGAUGAUGCCGGGUACCCGCAACGGGACGAAAAGACCCCGUGAACCUUUACUAUAGCUUAACGCUGAAUUUGGGUACACAAUGUGUAGGAUAGGCAGGAGACUACGAAGCGGGCACGCCAGUGUUCGUGGAGUCGACGUUGAAAUACUGCCCUUUGUGUACUUGAGUUCUAACCCUCGAGAGGGGACACCGUUUGGUGGGUAGUUUGACUGGGGUGGUCGCCUCCAAAAGCGUAACGGAGGCUUCCCAAGGUACCCUCAGCACGAAUGGUAACCGUGCGUAGAGUGCAAUAGCAUAAGGGUGCUUGACUGUGAGACCAACAAGUCGAUCAGGUGCGAAAGCAGGGUAUAGUGAUCCGGUGGUUCUGCGUGGACUGGCCAUCGCUCAAAGGAUAAAAGGUACUCCGGGGAUAACAGGCUGAUCGCCGCCAAGAGCUCAUAUCGACGCGGCGGUUUGGCACCUCGAUGUCGGCUCGUCACAUCCUGGGGCUGGAGAAGGUCCCA
rnacentral:rRNA from 1 species